UACGUAGGGUCCGAGCGUUGUCCGGAAUUAUUGGGCGUAAAGGGCUCGUAGGCGGUUCGUCACGUCGGGAGUGAAAACUCGGGGCUUAACCCCGAGCCUGCUUCCGAUACGGGCAGACUAGAGGUAGGCAGGGGAGAGCGGAACUCCUGGUGUAGCGGUGGAAUGCGCAGAUAUCAGGAAGAACACCGGUGGCGAAGGCGGCUCUCUGGGCCUUACCUGACGCUGAUGUGCGAAAGCUAGGGGAGCGAACGGG
rnacentral:rRNA from 1 species